GACAGAGGUCCCGAGCGUUAGGCGGAAUCACUGGGCUUAAAGCGUGUGUAGGCGGAGUGCUAAGUACCUUGUGAAAUCCCACGGCUCAACCGUGGAACUGCUUGGUAUACUGGUUCUCUUGAGCCACCUAGGGGCAACCGGAACAAACGGUGGAGCGGUGAAAUGCGUAGAUAUCGUUUGGAACGCCAAUGGUGAAAACAGGUUGCUGGGGGUGUGCUGACGCUGAGACACGAAAGCCAGGGGAGCAAAACGGG
rnacentral:rRNA from 1 species